UACAGAGGUGGCAAGCGUUGUUCGGAUUCAUUGGGCGUAAAGGGUCCGCAGGCGGCCCAGCAAGUCGGAUGUGAAAUCCCAGAGCUCAACUCUGGAACUGCAUUCGAAACUGCCGGGCUCGAGCGUAGGAGGGGUGAAGGGAAUUCCCGGUGUAAGGGUGAAAUCUGCAGAGAUCGGGAGGAACACCAGUCGCGAAGGCGCUUCACUGGCCUACUGCUGACGCUCAGGGACGAAAGCCAGGGGAGCAAACGGG
rnacentral:rRNA from 1 species